rnacentral:lncRNA from 1 species
CUUCAUUGACUUUGACAAAGUCAAACCCCUCAUCACUUCAGACUCCAAUUCCAGACCUGAUCAUUUAUAGACUUAGAUUAAUCUUAGCUAUGAAUAGUAAUUGCUACGACUGAGUCCAGUAAGAAGGGUAUGUUCUUUACCAUUUGUGGGGAUUUGCUUGAAGGUAGGUGAUGGAGUGAAAGUGUUUGUUCUUUCCAUUUCAGAUAAAAGGAGGAACUGCUCAUACUGUGCUUCCAUGGUCAAAGUGUCUUCAUCGGCUUCAAUGGAAUCAGGGAGGAGAUCAGUGAAAUCGAAGUCAUCCACUGUGUUAGCAAAGAAACCAUCUUCUCCCUGUUGCUGGCUAAGCCAGUAGU